AGGUCGCAAGACGUAAGCGAUGGAUAACAGGUUUAGAUUCCUGUACCACGUAUUAUCAGAACUGUAGGGACGCAUGUGGAAAGCACGAGCCGGGAAUGGAAAGACCGGUACAAGCGGGGUAGGAGUUGUAUAGGCAAAUCCGUAUAACGAUCCAAAGACGUGAUGUGGAGUGAAAUAAAGUAACGAAGCGUGUGAGCCAUGUGCCGAGAAAAGCUGCUAUUGUGUAAUACGUGCCCGUACCGUAAACCGACACAGGUGGAUGAGGAGAGAAUCCUAAGGCCGACGGAAGAAGCAUUGUUAAGGAAUUCGGCAAAAUGACCCCGUAACUUCGGGAGAAAGGGUGCCUGCGAGAGCAGGCCGCAGAGAAUAGGCUCAAGCAACUGUUUAGCAAAAACACAGGUCUAUGCGAAACCGAAAGGUGAAGUAUAUGGGCUGACGCCCGCCCGGUGCUGGAAGGUUAAGAGGAGAGGUUAGCAUAAGCGAAGCUUUGAAUUUAAGCCCCAGUAAACGGCGGCCGUAACGAUAACGGUCCUAAGGUAGCGAAAUUCCUUGUCGGGUAAGUUCCGACCCGCACGAAAGGCGUAAUGAUUUGAGCACUGUCUCGACAAUGCAACCGGUGAAAUUGAAGUACCAGUGAAGAUGCUGGUUACCCGCGCCAGGACGGAAAGACCCCAUGGAGCUUUACUCCAGUUUGAUACUGGGAUUCGGUACUGCACGUACAGGAUAGGUGGGAGACUAGGAAAUAUGGACGCCAGUCUGUAUGGAGUCGCUGUUGGGAUACCACCCCUGUAGUACUGGGUUUCUAACCAGUUACCAUGAUCUGGUAAUGGGACAAUGUCAGGCGGGGGUUUGACUGGGGCGGUCGCCUCCGAAAGGGUAUCGGAGGCGCUCAAAGGUUCCCUCAGAAUGGUCGGAAACCAUUUGAAGAGUGCAAAGGCAGAAGGGAGCUUGACUGCGACACUGACGGGUGGAGCAGGUACGAAAGUAGGACUUAGUGAUCCGGUGGUAUAAAGUGGGAUUGCCAUCGCUCAACGGAUAAAAGCUACCCUGGGAUAACAGGCUUAUCACUCCCAAGAGUUCACAUCGACGGAGUGGUUUGGCACCUCGAUGUCGGCUCAUCGCAUCCUGGGGCUGUAGCAGGUCCCAAGGGUUGGGCUGUUCGCCCAUUAAAGCGGUACGCGAGCUGGGUUCAGAACGUCGUGAGACAGUUCGGUCCCUAUCCGGCGCGGGCGGAGGAUAUUUGAGAGGAGCUGUCCUUAGUACGAGAGGACCGGGAUGGACGGACCACUGGUGUAUCUGUUGUCGACCAACGGCAUGGCAGAGUAGCCAAGUCUGGAAGGGAUAAACGCUGAAGGCAUCUAAGCGUGAAGCCCCCCUCAAGAUGAGAUAUCCCUCCUUCGGGAGUAAGACCCCUUGAAGACUACAAGGUAGAUAGGGCAGAGGUGGAAGCACAGUAAUGUGUGGAGCUGACUGUUACUAAUAGGUCGAGGGCUC
rnacentral:rRNA from 1 species